GAAAAAGCAGGGGCCCAUUGCCUCUGUGAGUGGGCCUCUCGUAAACUUCAGGGAUAUUGCUUACAUCGUUAUUGGGUGAAUCUCUGUUAUUUUAGGUGACAAGAAGGUUCAGUAAAUGAUGGUACAUCA